AUUGAACGCUGGCGACAUGCCUUACACAUGCAAGUCGAACGGCAGCACGGGUGCUUGCACCUGGUGGCGAGUGGCGAACGGGUGAGUAAUACAUCGGAACAUGUCCUGUAGUGGGGGAUAGCCCGGCGAAAGCCGGAUUAAUACCGCAUACGAUCUACGGAUGAAAGCGGGGGACCUUCGGGCCUCGCGCUAUAGGGUUGGCCGAUGGCUGAUUAGCUAGUUGGUGGGGUAAAGGCCUACCAAGGCGACGAUCAGUAGCUGGUCUGAGAGGACGACCAGACACACUGGGACUGAGACACGGCCCAGACUCCUACGGGAGGCAGCAGUGGGGAAUUUUGGACAAUGGGCGAAAGCCUGAUCCAGCAAUGCCGCGUGUGUGAAGAAGGCCUUCGGGUUGUAAAGCACUUUUGUCCGGAAAGAAAUCCUUGGCCCUAAUACGGUCGGGGGAUGACGGUACCGGAAGAAUAAGCACCGGCUAACUACGUG
rnacentral:rRNA from 1 species